rnacentral:lncRNA from 1 species
AUGAAUCAUGGUCUACCCUCUGGGGCUAUCUCACCCCAGAAAAAGGUGGGGUUUGGUUACAAGGAUGAAGUGAGGAUGACAUUGGGUAGGCACUGUCAGUGUCUGCCGAAUCACCAGAUACCGUUCAGGCUAAAGAGAGAAGAUGCUAAAACCAAAAAGGAAGAGGUGGAUACCCAGGCCAAGUUCAGAAAGAUUAUACUAGCUCUGUGGAUUGCAAAAGGAAAAUAAAAGAACAGACAUGGCCUGGGAGGCAGAUUUGGAAGGGAAGAAAAAGGAAAAAAAGGUAAUGUCUUUAAAGAAGGAUGACAAAAGGAGGGUAGUAGUGUCCCUCCUUAAAGCUCUGUGGAGUACAUGUGGUAUGGGGCAAACCAAAUAGUGAGUGUUCAUUACUGAAUGAAUGAAUUGUGGAAUUGAAUUCAACAAGUUAUUAGAGCUAUGGAAAAAUUCAAGUUAUACAUAUGAUUUCCUUUUCUCUAACUUCAUAUUGAACAAGAGUUGUCUGAUGGUACGACGGGAUAAACCUAUUUCCAGGUCAUGCUGUGCAGAGGAUAUUUGUCAAUCAUUGCCAUCCUACAUCUUUCAGACUCCUCCUCUUACAUUUUGUUGAUUUCUCUCAUUAGGAUUUGCAUCUUCCAACAGUAGAGGUGAAAAAAUUUGUGUUCUAAGUCUCAGAUUCCACUAGGGAAAGGGGCCACAUAAAAGGAAGAUCAUAUCCAGAAUCCACUUUUUCUAGAGCAUGCCAUGCUCAGUGCCUCCUGCUCAGUGUCUACUGGGUAUUCAGUGCUGCUGCAUCCACGCCACCAACAGGACUGACCUGUGGGUGGUUCAGUAGUGGCAUUUGGAUUCUUCCCUUGGCUCUAGAGUCUCUGAGCUUAAUUGCUGGCUGUGAGUUUCUGGAAAUUCUGUGAGUUUCACAAUAUUUGUAAUCAUUUUCCUUUUUGUUUCAGCUAGCUAGAGUUGGUUUUGUUGUUUGCACCUGAAAAUCCUGAUCUAUUUGUGUAGACGUUUCUGUUUCUUAUGGUGAGUUAAUAAAUGGCAUUCUGGUUUUCCUGAUUCCAGCUCACUCUGGUACACUGAGAUGAGUUCCAAAUUUCUGACUAUGCAAGACAGAGAGUGUAAUGCCCUAGAUCCUGGACCGUGGCUUUUACACUGCUCUGAGAACUCCAUCACCAUAUUCAGGAACCCUUGAUGGCUUAGUAUUGUCUAUUGGAAAAAUUCCAGACCUCAGACUCUGGUAUUGAAGGCUUUUCACUUUCUGUUCUACUUUCCUGCUAUAUUACCAAUACUCUAACAUCACUACCAAAUUGCGAUGUUUGCUGUCCUUUUGAUUUUUUUUUAAACUCUGGGUACUGGGACACCUCAGUAGCUCAGUGGUUGAGUGCCUGCGUUCAGAUCAAGAGUCCUAGGAUCGGCUCCCACAUCCUAGGUUCCCUGCAUGGAGCCUGCUUCUCCCUCUGGCUAUGUCUCUGCCUCUUCAUCUUUCUGUGUCUCUCAUGAAUAAAGAAAUAAAAUCUUAAAAAACAACUCUUACACUCUUACACUAUUCUCUCUGCUUGCAGGAAUCUGCCUUACAUCUCUGUCUACCAGAAUCUUACCCAUAACUCAGGACUCUAUUCAGAUUCCAUUUCUUCAAUGAAGACUUUACUAAUGACUCCCUGAAGAAGUAUUGCUUAAUCAUCUAAAAUCUUCUCUGCAUUGAGAGCAUCUAUUCUAUAAUGCCUUGUCUAAGAAUUAGUUUGUCUGUUUAGACAUCUUCC